rnacentral:rRNA from 1 species
CAGCAGCCGCGGUAAUACGAACCGUGCGAACGUUAUUCGGAAUAACUGGGCUUAAAGCGCGUGUAGGCGGGCCGCCACGUCGGCUGCUGAAAUCCCCCGGCUCAACCGGGGAAGUGGCACCGAUACGAGCGGCCUCGAGGGGGGUAGGGGGCACUGGAACUUCCGGUGGAGCGGUGAAAUGCGUUGAGAUCGGAAGGAACGCCCGUGGCGAAAGCGAGUCCCUGGACCCUUACUGACGCUGAGACGCGAAAGCCAGGGGAGCGAACGGGAUUAGAUACCCCUGUAGUCCCUGUCUCUUAUA